rnacentral:rRNA from 1 species
AAAUUAGAGUGUUCAAAGCAGGCCUUUGCUCGAAUACAUUAGCAUGGAAUAAUAGAAUAGGACGUGUGGUUCUAUUUUGUUGGUUUCUAGGACCGCCGUAAUGAUUAAUAGGGAUAGUCGGGGGCGUCAGUAUUCAGCUGUCAGAGGUGAAAUUCUUGGAUUUGCUGAAGACUAACUACUGCGAAAGCAUUCGCCAAGGAUGUUUUCAUUAAUCAGGGAACGAAAGUUAGGGGAUCGAAGAAGAUCAGAUACCGUCGUAGUCU